GGUCAGCGCCGAACGACUGAGAAGCCCGGUUUGCGCCCUCAGAAUGACUGUAUGGGAAACAGCCACACCCGCGGUGGCAGAGACCCAGGACAUCAAGCUCUUUGGGAAAUGGAGCACUGAUGAUGUGCAGAUCAACGAUAUUUCUCUACAGGAUUACAUUGCUGUGAAGGAGAAGUAUGCCAAGUACCUGCCCCACAGUGCAGGACCGUAUGCUGCCAAGCGUUUCCGCAAAGCACAAUGUCCCAUCGUGGAGCGCCUUACAACUCCAUGAUGAUGCACGGUCGUAACAACGGCAAGAAGCUCAUGACUCUACGAAUUGUCAAGCAUGCCUUUGAGAUCAUCCACCUGCUCACUGGUGAGAACCCUCUGCAGGUCCUGGUGAAUGCUAUCAUCAACAGUGGCCCCCGAGAAGACUCAACACGCAUUGUGGGGGCUGGAACAGUGAGAUGGCAGGCUGUGGAUGUAUCCCCACUGCGCUGAGUGAAUCAGGCCAUCUGGCUGCUGUGCACGGGGGCUCGUGAGGCUGCUUUCCGGAUCAUCAACACCAUCGCUGAGUGCCUUGCAGAUGAGCUCAUUAAUGCUGCCAAGGGCUCCUCCAACUCCUAUGCCAUCAAGAAGAAAGAUGAACUGGAGCGUGUGGCCAAGUCUAACCGCUGAUUUCCCAGCUGCUGCCUAAUAAAUUGUGUGCCCUUUGGGACAGUUAAAAAAAA